AUUGAACGCUGGCGGCAGGCCUAACACAUGCAAGUCGAGCGGCAGCGGGAAAGUAGCUUGCUACUUUUGCCGGCGAGCGGCGGACGGGUGAGUAAUGCCUGGGAAAUUGCCCAGUCGAGGGGGAUAACAGUUGGAAACGACUGCUAAUACCGCAUACGCCCUACGGGGGAAAGCAGGGGACCUUCGGGCCUUGCGCGAUUGGAUAUGCCCAGGUGGGAUUAGCUAGUUGGUGAGGUAAUGGCUCACCAAGGCGACGAUCCCUAGCUGGUCUGAGAGGAUGAUCAGCCACACUGGAACUGAGACACGGUCCAGACUCCUACGGGAGGCAGCAGUGGGGAAUAUUGCACAAUGGGGGAAACCCUGAUGCAGCCAUGCCGCGUGUGUGAAGAAGGCCUUCGGGUUGUAAAGCACUUUCAGCGAGGAGGAAAGGUCAGUAGCUAAUAUCUGCUGACUGUGACGUUACUCGCAGAAGAAGCACCGGCUAACUCCGUGCCAGCAGCCGCCGCCGUAA
rnacentral:rRNA from 1 species